CCUGCACCGGUGCGGAUUGCUCGCCCGGUUGCAGCUCGGCCACCGCCGGUUGCGCAUCGGCCACCGCCGGUGCCGCCUCGGCCUUCAGGGCC
rnacentral:tRNA from 1 species